AUGGCUCCGGACUCCACCUCCUCCGCCACUUCUCCGGCCACCUCGCCGGGCUCCCUUUCCUCGACCACCAGCCUGGCCGUCGAUGGCGGCUCCACGUCCGCCGCCACCUCCCCUGCCCCUUUCGUCUUCGGGACCUCUCCGGCUCCCAACAGCAGCUCUCCGGCUCCCCCUCCCACCACCCAAUUCGCCCCUAUCUUCUCCUCUUCGGCGCCGACCCCUCCCCCUGCCCGCAACCCCAUCUUCAACGACAGUAUCCACAACCACAUCAAGUUCCUUCUUAACCCCGACGAGCACAACUACCAUAAGUGGAAGUCGUUCUUCCUGCUGGUUCUGCUCCGCUACGGCUUCACCCAAUUCAUUGAGCACCCCCUUCCGGCCACCGCCACCCCCCAACAGCGUGAGCUCGAUGCCCAUCUCGUGCUCUGGAUCUAUGCCACUCUCGCCGACAACCUCGUCGAUCAUGUCGUCGGCGCCACCACCACCUAUGAUCUCUGGCAUCGCAUCCGGGAUUAUUUCCUCGCGAACAGGGCUGCUCGGUACAUGAUACUCAACACGCAGUACCGCAACCUCAAGCAGGGGGACCUUUCUGUUGCCGAGUACGCCCGCCGCAUGAAGCUGCUCACCGCCGGCCUCGCCGACAUCGACCACGCCGUCACCGAGGUGGACCUCACCACCCAGUUUCUCCACGGCAUCGACAAACGCCUCGACACCAUCCGCGUCGUCCUCGGGGACACCGUUCCUCUGCCACCGUUUGAAACGGUGUUCUCUCGUCUGAAGCUUGCCGAGGAGAACCUCGCCCAGCGCGAGGCCGCUGAGCCGGUCACCAUCCUCGCCGUCACCGGGAACGGCGGCCCUGCUGGCCACCCUUCUGGCCCUGGCGGCUCCUCCAGCACUCGCGCCGGUGACCGGGGCCCUGAUCGCGGCAACGGCUCCCAGGCUCACGGAUCUGGCAACCGCACCGAGGGCGGUGACCGCGGCGACCGCGGCGGUCGCGGUCGUGGGCGCGGGCGCGGCCGCGGGCGUGGUGAUCAAGGCGGUCGCGGCCAUCCGCCGCCCAUGUCCUCCAACCCAUACAUGGGCUUCUUCGCACCCUACGGCAUGGCGCUGCCGAACCCGCGCCCCGGCUGGGUGCCUCCCAACAGCGCCGGCGUGCUCGGCCCGCGCCCCGGGUCGCAUGCCCAGGCGUACCAGAUGCAACUCUCGGGCUACCCCACGCCGUCGCCGCCCCAGCCUCCUUCCUGGGAUCACCUCGCCAUGCUCUAG
rnacentral:rRNA from 1 species